ACGGGGCAUUGCCUCAGUAACGGCGAGUGAAGCGGCAAAAGCUCAAAUUUGAAAUCUGGCACCUUUGGUGUCCGAGUUGUAAUUUGAAGAAGGUAACUUUGGAGUUGGCUCUUGUCUAUGUUCCUUGGAACAGGACGUCACAGAGGGUGAGAAUCCCGUGCGAUGAGAUGCCCAAUUCUAUGUAAAGUGCUUUCGAAGAGUCGAGUUGUUUGGGAAUGCAGCUCUWAGUGGGUGGUAAAUUCCAUCUAAAGCUAAAUAUUGGCGAGAGACCGAUAGCGAACAAGUACAGUGAUGGAAAGAUGAAAAGAACUUUGAAAAGAGAGUGAAAAAGUACGUGAAAUUGUUGAAAGGGAAGGGCUUGAGAUCAGACUUGGUAUUUUGCRAGCUUUACCUUCGUGGUGGAGUCCCCUGCAGUUUACUGGGCCAGCAUCGGUUUGGAUGGWARGAUAAUGACUUGGGAAUGUGGCUUUGCUUCGGUAAAGUGUUAUAGCCCUUGUUGAUGCUACCUGUCUAGACCGAGGACUGCGUCUUUGACUAGGAUGUUGKCMUARUGAUCUUMAGUCSCCCGUCUGAAAAAMCGRACAUUGC
rnacentral:rRNA from 1 species